rnacentral:sRNA from 1 species
UAUCCUAGAACGCUGAAUUGCGGUACGCAGCCGUAAGCGGGGGACCCAUUUUCCGGGGUGAAUCUUGCCGGUUAAUUCCGGUGAGUAGGGCUAACCUUCAGCCCGAAUCCGUCAGCUAACUUCGUAAGCGUGGAAGGGGAUAUAU